CGUGAACCAUGUUCUCCGUCAAUCCUUGCCGCAACAAUUAAAUCUCCAAAAUUUUCGCUUUUUUGGAAGUUCGGUGAUUCCAAGUCCUGUGGUAAAGGUGUUGAUGUAUUGAGAUCAAGGAGACUACUUUGCCACUUGUUGCCUUGGAAAAGAGCUACUUAUUGGAGUCGAAAACCAUUUUCUUCAAGAAAGAGGGGUGCUGUGUAUGUAAGGUCGGGUCGUGGUUUUUCUUUAAGAAGAUCAAAGGUCGUAAGUCUCUCUUGAACCAGUUUAAAAUGGUCCGAGUCCAUGGAAAAGCGUUCAAAGAAGUUUGAAGAGGUUAGUUAUGUAUUUAUUUCAAUGUAAUUUCUACAAAUGAGAUUGUUUUCUUGUGGCUCUUCACUAAUAUAUGGGUGCACCAUACAGCUUGUAAAUAGGUAACUUCAUCCUCACCUGUAGCAUAUUUGGUGGAAAGACAAAGAAAUAACAAGGUUGGUGGGAUAU